GACUCUCGGUAAUGGAUAUCUCAACUCUCGUAUUGAUGAAGAACGUAGCGAAAUGCGAUACUUGGUGUGAAUUACAGAAUCCCAUGAACCAUCGAGUUUUUGAAUGCAAGUUGCGCCUAAAGCCAUUAGGCCGAUGGCACAUCUGCUUAGGCAUCA